GCACAAGCGGUGGAGCAUGUGGUUUAAUUCGAAGCAACGCGAAGAACCUUACCAGGUCUUGACAUCCUCUGACAAUCCUAGAGAUAGGACUUUCCCCUUCGGGGGACAGAGUGACAGGUGGUGCAUGGUUGUCGUCAGCUCGUGUCGUGAGAUGUUGGGUUAAGUCCCGCAACGAGCGCAACCCUUAUUCUUAGUUGCCAGCAUUAAGUUGGGCACUCUAAGGAGACUGCCGGUGACAAACCGGAGGAAGGUGGGGAUGACGUCAAAUCAUCAUGCCCCUUAUGACCUGGGCUACACACGUGCUACAAUGGAUGGUACAAAGGGCUGCGAAACCGCGAGGUCAAGCCAAUCCCAUAAAACCAUUCUCAGUUCGGAUUGUAGGCUGCAACUCGCCUACAUGAAGCCGGAAUCGCUAGUAAUCGUGGAUCAGCAUGCCACGGUGAAUACGUUCCCGGGC
rnacentral:rRNA from 1 species